GCAGCCAAUGAUGACAACAUCUCCCACUCUGUUCGAGUUUCCCAACCAUGAGACCACUCCACAUGCACUACCAUCUGAGGCCGC
ensembl:snoRNA SNORD33 Small nucleolar RNA Z195/SNORD33/SNORD32 family